ACUCUUGAUCUCUUUUCUUGAUCUUUUUCUUCUCUUCUUCUCUUGCUUUUCUCUCCUUGAAUUAUGCUGCUACUAGUAGGUGGAAACCAACACAAGGUGGACGCCUAAGUGCCCUUGGGUGUGGAAGAGAGAGGAUGCCCAAGGAGGGGCGUGUGGGAUGCCCAAAGGAGAGGAGAGAAAGGGAGAGGAAGAGAGAGAAUGGAGGACUUCUAUGGGGCAUGGGGCUUGCU
rnacentral:lncRNA from 1 species